CCCUUAGAUGUUCUGGGCCGCACGCGUGCUACACUGAGUGGAUCAGCGGGUCAGGUUGCGCGAAAGUGUUUCCUAAUCUUUAAAUCCGCUCGUGAUGGGGAUUGACGGUUGCAAUUUUCCGUCAUGAACGAGGAAUACCUUGUAAGCGCGGGUCAUCAUCCCGCGCUGAAUACGUCCCUGCCCUUUGUACACACCGCCCGUCGCACCUACCGAUUGAAUGGUCCGGUGAAAUCUUGGGAUUUUGUUUUGUUUGCAUUUAUUUGUAUCGAGACGAGAGAACUUGAGUAAACCUUACCAUUUAGAGGAAGGUGAAGUCGUAACA
rnacentral:rRNA from 1 species